rnacentral:rRNA from 1 species
UACGUAGGGGGCAAGCGUUGUCCGGAAUCAUUGGGCGUAAAGAGCGUGUAGGCGGUCCGGUAAGUCCGUUGUGAAAGUCAAGGGCUCAACCCUUGAAUGCCGGCGGAUACUGUCGGGCUAGAGUCCGGAAGAGGCGAGUGGAAUUCCCGGUGUAGCGGUGAAAUGCGCAGAUAUCGGGAGGAACACCUAUGGCGAAGGCAGCUCGCUGGGACGGCACUGACGCUGAGACGCGAAAGCGUGGGGAGCAAACAGG